AGUGAACGCUGGCGGUAGGCCUAACACAUGCAAGUCGAACGGCAGCACAGUAAGAGCUUGCUCUUACGGGUGGCGAGUGGCGGACGGGUGAGGAAUACAUCGGAAUCUACUUUUUCGUGGGGGAUAACGUAGGGACACUUACGCUAAUACCGCAUACGACCUACGGGUGAAAGCAGGGGAUCUUCGGACCUUGCGCGAUUGAAUGAGCCGAUGUCGGAUUAGUUAGUUGGCGGGGUAAAGGCCCACCAAGGCGACGAUCCGUAGCUGGUCUGAGAGGAUGAUCAGCCACACUGGAACUGAGACACGGUCCAGACUCCUACGGGAGGCAGCAGUGGGGAAUAUUGGACAAUGGGCGCAAGCCUGAUCCAGCCAUACCGCGUGGGUGAAGAAGGCCUUCGGGUUGUAAAGCCCUUUUGUUGGGAAAGAAAAGCAGCAGGUUAAUACCCCGCUGUUCUGACGGUACCCAAAGAAUAAGCACCGGCUAACUUCGUG
rnacentral:rRNA from 1 species